rnacentral:rRNA from 1 species
CAGUAGCCGCGGGAAUACAGAGGGUGCAAGCGUUAAUCGGAAUUACUGGGCGUAAAGCGCGCGUAGGUGGCUUGUUAAGUUGGAUGUGAAAGCCCCGGGCUCAACCUGGGAACUGCAUCCAAAACUGGCAAGCUAGAGUACGGUAGAGGGUGGUGGAAUUUCCUGUGUAGCGGUGAAAUGCGUAGAUAUAGGAAGGAACACCAGUGGCGAAGGCGACCACCUGGACUGAUACUGACACUGAGGUGCGAAAGCGUGGGGAGCAAACAGGAUUAGAUACCCGCGUAGUCCCUGUCUCUUAUAA